AAAAAUGCAAUGCUCGCCAAACGAAGACAAUGAUUCGGUUCACAGCGAUGAAUCUGUUAUCAGUGUUUCAGCACAAAAGGAAAAAUUAGAUGGCUUGGUUAGUAUGGAGCUAAAACAUUCUGGAGUAUACCGUGAUAUAUACUUUAAAGAUAAUUUACUUAAGGUAGAUUUGGAAAAUUUGUAUCAUACAUGUCAACGCCUUGACAAUCAAACAAAGAAAAAAAGUGAACAGUUGGAUGAGUUGUAUGACAAAUUAACUGAUGAACAAAAAGAGAAAAAAGCUCAGCUUGAUAAAGAAUUGUACAUAUUUUCUUUGAUUUUUACAACAAAAAUAAUGUAACAAUAGUCACACAUUUGUUUGUACAAUUAUUGCAGAUCAUCUAUCCUUCAAGAAUUAGUAGACAUCAAUAAUUCUUUUCAUGAAGAGCUUUGAUAUUUGCAAAGAUACAUAUGAGUAUUUAACGAAUGGACUUAACAAAGAAGAAGAAAAUUAUUUGGCAGCUUUAGAAUACCUAUCUACUUUUCAACAAAGAGUAGAAUUAAAUGAUUGUAUUAUAAAAAAUAGAUCCGCUCAACUUUCAAAUAUGAAAAAUUCUGUGGA